GUGAGCCACAUGCAGGGAAACUUGCACGUGUGGUUCUGGAAGGAAUGAAUCUAGGGAAGAAGUCGCAAGGACUCGAUGAUCCUCUCUUGGAGUUCAUCCACCCUUAGUACACACAAUCUACCUUGAU
rnacentral:ncRNA from 1 species